rnacentral:lncRNA from 1 species
GCAAACUACACUCUUCAGUACUACUUCAGUUAUUCAGUUCAGCUGCAUGAAGACCUGAAGCUGCUCGACAACAACGCUUAUCAGCAGAGACACCGCUAACAGUGCAAGGUGGCCCAUAGUAACAGAGAAUCCAAUGGACAGAGCAGCAGAACCCAGACGUCCAUUUCUUCUUUCAUCAGUGACAGCGAAAACGCAGACCACCAACUGCAUAGUGAGGAACACCUCCACUGUGGUGGCCAUUCCCAGACUCAUGCCAGGCUGAAGCUGGAGAGAAACAUCAACAGGACAUGGGCUGAAAUUAGAAAGGUAUCUCCUUUCAGAAAGAGGCUAAUUAAUUCCAGUGGAGGAGACGGCAGGAGGCCCGGGCACAAAGGGAUCUCUCCUCCCCUUCUCCAGCUCAAUCAAACCUCCAGCACCAUCAGCCAUGAGAUUUCAGCACAGCAUGAUGAUCAACAUCAGCUUCAGUUCGGUACAACAACAACAACAAGUCUCCGCUACAUGCUAACAGGUUGCUCAUUUCAGCUGCUCCUCACAGUCACUUUGAGGAUCUAAGUGUUGGCCGGUAUGGUUUUUAGGAUAUAAUUAAAGCUUUAUUAUGUGCCACUGUUGGGUUUGGGUGCCGACAUGCUUUAAUUAUAAAGCACCGAAAACACAAGUGCGCACAUAUAU